rnacentral:SRP_RNA from 2 species
GCCAGGUGCUGUGGUGCGUGCCUGUAAUCCCAGCUACUAGGGAGGCUGAGGCAGGAGAAUCACUUGAACCCAGGAGAUGGAGGUUGCAGUGGGCUGAGAUCGUGCCACUGCACUCCAACCUGGGCAACAGAGUGAGACCCUGUCUCAA